UAUUGGACAAUGGGCGCAAGCCUGAUCCAGCCAUACCGCGUGGGUGAAGAAGGCCUUCGGGUUGUAAAGCCCUUUUGUUGGGAAAGAAAAGCAGCCAGUUAAUACCUGGUUGUUCUGACGGUACCCAAAGAAUAAGCACCGGCUAACUUCGUGCCAGCAGCCGCGGUAAUACGAAGGGUGCAAGCGUUACUCGGAAUUACUGGGCGUAAAGCGUGCGUAGGUGGUUGUUUAAGUCUGUUGUGAAAGCCCUGGGCUCAACCUGGGAAUUGCAGUGGAUACUGGGCGACUAGAGUGUGGUAGAGGGUAGUGGAAUUCCUGGUGUAGCAGUGAAAUGCGUAGAGAUCAGGAGGAACAUCCAUGGCGAAGGCAGCUACCUGGACCAACGCUGACACUGAGGCACGAAAGCGUGGGGAGCAAACAGG
rnacentral:rRNA from 1 species